AACGCUGGCGGCAGGCUAACACAUGCAAGUCGAGCGCGCCUUUCGGGGUGAGCGGCGGACGGGUUAGUAACGCGUGGGAACGUGCCCUUUGGUACGGAAUAGCCUCUGGAAACGGAGAGUAAUACCGUAUGAGCCCUUCGGGGGAAAGAUUUAUCGCCAAAGGAUCGGCCCGCGUUAGAUUAGGUAGUUGGUGGGGUAAUGGCCUACCAAGCCUACGAUCUAUAGCUGGUUUUAGAGGAUGAUCAGCAACACUGGGACUGAGACACGGCCCAGACUCCUACGGGAGGCAGCAGUGGGGAAUCUUAGACAAUGGGCGCAAGCCUGAUCUAGCCAUGCCGCGUGUGUGACGAAGGCCUUAGGGUCGUAAAGCACUUUCGCCAGGGAUGAUAAUGACAGUACCUGGUAAAGAAACCCCGGCUAACUCCGUGCCAGCAGCCGCGGUAAUACGGAGGGGGUUAGCGUUGUUCGGAAUUACUGGGCGUAAAGCGCGCGUAGGCGGGCUGUUAAGUUAGGGGUGAAAUCCCGGGGCUCAACCCCGGAACUGCCUUUAAUACUGGCAGCCUAGAGUUCGAGAGAGGUGAGUGGAAUUCCGAGUGUAGAGGUGAAAUUCGUAGAUAUUCGGAGGAACACCAGUGGCGAAGGCGGCUCACUGGCUCGAUACUGACG
rnacentral:rRNA from 1 species